rnacentral:rRNA from 1 species
GUACCUACGGGAGGCAGCAGUGGGGAAUAUUGCACAAUGGGGGAAACCCUGAUGCAGCGACGCCGCGUGAGUGAAGAAGCAUUUCGGUAUGUAAAGCUCUAUCAGCAGGGAAGAAAAUGACGGUACCUGACUAAGAAGCCCCGGCUAACUACGUGCCAGCAGCCGCGGUAAUACGUAGGGGGCAAGCGUUAUCCGGAUUUACUGGGUGUAAAGGGAGCGUAGACGGCAGAGCAAGUCUGAAGUGAAAGCCAGC